UGCCAGCAGCCGCGGUAAUACGUAGGUGGCAAGCGUUGUCCGGAUUUAUUGGGCGUAAAGCGAGCGCAGGCGGUUUCUUAAGUCUGAUGUGAAAGCCCCCGGCUCAACCGGGGAGGGUCAUUGGAAACUGGGAGACUUGAGUGCAGAAGAGGAGAGUGGAAUUCCAUGUGUAGCGGUGAAAUGCGUAGAUAUAUGGAGGAACACCAGUGGCGAAGGCGGCUCUCUGGUCUGUAACUGACGCUGAGGCUCGAAAGCGUGGGGAGCGAACAGGAUUAGAUACCCUGGUAGUCCACGCCGUAAACGAUGAGUGCUAAGUGUUGGAGGGUUUCCGCCCUUCAGUGCUGCAGCAAACGCAUUAAGCACUCCGCCUGGGGAGU
rnacentral:rRNA from 1 species